AAUAAUCCAUCAGAGAGUAAGUUUGUUGAGCUAAGCAAACCAACAAAUAAAAAAUGGAGAGGCGUCAGAGUGAGGAAGAAUUAAAGCAUAAGCUUCAAGAAUUGCAGAAGCAGUUAGGAAAGAAACAAAUGUUUGAGGAAGCUGUUUCCUCUAUCCGAUCCCUUCUUCUUCAAUACUAUCCUUCUGCUUCCCCUUCUCUUCGUCAUUCGGUAAUUUCCCUCUUCCCCUUUUCUGGGUUUUCCUUUUAUUCUUGAUUUAUGUAAUAUGUAUUACGGGAAAUGUUGACCCAUUAUUUUCUUUUCUGCUAUAGAAAAGUCUUAUUACUUAAUUUUGCUUUUGAGUUAGUGGUUUUCGUGAUUUAUUUGAGUAUAUAUGAGUUUGGAUAGCUGCAGAAUAAAAAGUUAACUGGGUGAGUUUUACUUCUUGGAGCUGAAUUAUGGAAAAUAGGUUGCUAUGGAUAAAUGAGUUGGUAGAGGAGACGAGGUUUAUGCCAUAACAAAGUAUGUAAAUGAUUGUGCACUUUGGCACCUAAGCUUUGUUUUACACAAUGUAAAAUAUUUUCGUGAAAUAUUAGUUUCAUUGGAAAGUCAUUUACCUAACAAUAUCAUUCGCGAACUCCUUUGCUGAUGUUUGGUUGGACAUAAACUUGGUCGAAUGUUAUACUUGCAAUAGGGUGGGGGUGCGGGGUGGUGAUUGGUGAUAACUUUAUGUUUAGUAGAGAGUGGAAACAUAUGUUUACAUGGUGAUAUGGAGCAGGAUUGGAAUGAAAAAUGGUCGGUGCAGACGCGAGUUGUUUUUUAAAAAUUUGAUGUAAAAUGGUUUUGUUUCAAUAGUUUAGCAAUCAAACACCAGAAAAUGAUAUCACCUAGAAAGUUUUUUCCUGGAAAACAUUUACCCUCAUGCUAAAUAGUGUCUAAAAGGAAGAUGAUCGACCAGGUUGUUGAUUUUAGUCUCGUUUCUUUAUUUAAAACAAAAAAGAGAGAGAUAGCUUAUCUGCACGAGUAUUCUGUGCCUUUUAUGCUGUCUAAUUGAUUAAGCUGAUAUCCAUAAAUAUAAUGAUGAGUCAUUUUGUUGUUUGAUGCUGAGUGCGAAAGCCUCCUUCAUAAAUUAGGUGGAACUUUUGUCUUUCUAGCUAUUAUAUAGUUUAGUUCGCAGUUAAUAUCACCAUGAAGAAAUUAAACAAUUGAUCUUUUUGAAAAGAGAAUUUAACAUAGGUCAAUUCAUAGAAGGGAACUAGUACACAUCUAUUCUUACUAUUAAUAAUACAAAGGGUUUGUGAGCAGUUCUUCCUUUAUGUAACGCAGAAACAAUGACCAGCGUAUCGCUAUAUUUCAGAGAGAUCCUAGUUUUCAGGGAAGGAGUUGUUUUCCUUCUUCA
rnacentral:lncRNA from 1 species